rnacentral:rRNA from 1 species
UAGGGAAUCUUCGGCAAUGGACGGAAGUCUGACCGAGCAACGCCGCGUGAGUGAAGAAGGUUUUCGGAUCGUAAAGCUCUGUUGUAAGAGAAGAACGAGUGUGAGAGUGGAAAGUUCACACUGUGACGGUAUCUUACCAGAAAGGGACGGCUAACUACGUGCCAGCAGCCGCGGUAAUACGUAGGUCCCGAGCGUUGUCCGGAUUUAUUGGGCGUAAAGCGAGCGCAGGCGGUUAGAUAAGUCUGAAGUUAAAGGCUGUGGCUUAACCAUAGUAGGCUUUGGAAACUGUUUAACUUGAGUGCAAGAGGGGAGAGUGGAAUUCCAUGUGUAGCGGUGAAAUGCGUAGAUAUAUGGAGGAACACCGGUGGCGAAAGCGGCUCCCUGGCUUGUAACUGACGCUGAGGCUCGAAAGCGUGGGGAGCAAACAGGAUUAGAUACCCUGGUAGUCCACGCUGUAAACGAUGAGUGCUAGGUGUUAGACCCUUUCCGGGGUUUAGUGCCGUAGCUAACGCAUUAAGCACUCCGCCUGGGGAGUACGACCGCAAGGUUG